UUUUACCCCCUUUUGCGUUCGUGACAGCAGCGGCAUCCUUUACUUGCUUUCUUUAAGCAAGGAAAGAUAUAGCGGAUUGCACGAUAAAAC
rfam:Flavobacterium frigoris PS1 66_17, whole genome shotgun sequence.